AUUGAACGCUGGCGGCAGGCCUAACACAUGCAAGUCGAGCGGAUGACGGGAGCUUGCUCCUUGAUUCAGCGGCGGACGGGUGAGUAAUGCCUAGGAAUCUGCCUGGUAGUGGGGGACAACGUUUCGAAAGGAACGCUAAUACCGCAUACGUCCUACGGGAGAAAGCAGGGGACCUUCGGGCCUUGCGCUAUCAGAUGAGCCUAGGUCGGAUUAGCUAGUUGGUGGGGUAAUGGCUCACCAAGGCGACGAUCCGUAACUGGUCUGAGAGGAUGAUCAGUCACACUGGAACUGAGACACGGUCCAGACUCCUACGGGUGGCAGCAGUGGGGAAUAUUGGACAAUGGGCGAAAGCCUGAUCCAGCCAUGCCGCGUGUGUGAAGAAGGUCUUCGGAUUGUAAAGCACUUUAAGUCGGGAGGAAGGGCAGUAAGCUAAUACCUUGCUGUUUUGACGUUACCCACAGAAUAAGCACCGGCUAACUCUGUGCCAGCCGCCGCAGUAA
rnacentral:rRNA from 1 species